AGAAGAAAUUAUAAUACUAUCAACAUCAUUGACAUUUCGACUGUCAUAUGAAAACUGUUUUUGCUAAAAUAAAAUGUACUACGAUGUUUUUUUGAUUAUUAUUUCAAGUGUAAGUGAAGGUCCGAGAGUCAAAAGUUAAGAUGUGGAUGUGGAAUGCGAGGCAAAGUGGCAGCCGGUCUUCCCAGAUCAGCCACGGGAGCCACAGCCGGACCAGCUAUGGCAGCCACACGGCCAGCCAUCUCAGCAUCGGCAGCAUCACUAGCAGGACACGUGGCAGUCAGCACAGGGACAUAGAGUUCCAAUUUUUUAUACGACAGACUGAGGCCCUGUAUCCUCCUUGGUGGACUCGCGAAGCCAUUAUCGACUGGUAUCGAGACCUGCCUGAUGACACCAUGUGGAACUGCUACAUCUGCGGCUGCGUCCUCCUAGGCGUGAUCUGCGCCGUCUCGGAAUUCAACAAUCUCUACAUAGACAUUAUUGACGUGAUCUACAACAUCUCGUACGCCAUACAUGUGUUCGCUAUCGGCUAUAGAAUGGUCAGUGAACUGGAGAACACUGACAUCACCUUUUGUUGUCCGUAAGUACAGACAGAUUCAUACAAUGACCUACACUUUUGUCUUCGGCCGGCAAUACACGGACCGCUUGAAGCAGUCAGGGGCGACAUCUUCAAGCUGUCGACUAAACAGUGAAGAGUUCUACUGAAGCACAUACAUGAACCGCUCGAGCAGUUGCAACUGAUUCGGGCGGACGGCUUCAAGCGGUCCGUGUGUUGCCUUAUACGUCACGAUGAAUACAGUAAAAAAAAGGUCGGCUGCCUGUAAAGUCCGUGUCCGAACGAAGUUUUUACGUGAUAAUAAUGUCUUUUUCAUUAUGGGCUUUUCGUGAAUAACUCCCGUUUCGAAAUAUACUACGUUAUUACGUCAAAACAUCGUGGAAGUGAAAGUCGAAGAAGAGAAGUGGGUAAAUCAGAAGGAGUGACAGGAUCCUGCUGACUAUGAAGGCAUAUAUUCUGGCUGGAGCCCUUCGUGUUCAAUAUCCACGGUAACCCUGCCAAUAUUCCGAGAGCCCUAUCUUUACAGAAAUUACCACUUUCAUGAAAUAUUUUCGUUGAAUCCGAAACGAUGAUUUUCAUAAUUGUUUUACUUAAGUAGUUAAUUUUCUUUAAUUGUUGCUAGUCGGAUAUCUGGUCGACCUGGGAUCGUUUGCUCACUAUGUCAAAGAUUAUAGUCCUAUAUUCAAAUUGACAUGUUACUACGAUGACUGCAUCGACCUUUUAAGUAUUUAUGGUCGUUAACCGACUACAACCUAAAAGGCAGUAUACUGGGAACUACUCUAAAGUAUUGCUACAUUCCCUGGUGAUACGAAUCACUUGGGCUUAUGCAUGGCUUUAUAUUGACAAGGAAGGCAACCUCUAUAAAAAUGUUACAAGUAUCAAUCCUGAGCCACCUAAGCCGCUCGAUCUAGAUCAAGAAAAUGUAACAGUUCUGAACAAGACUACCACCACUCCUGCCGGUCUGUUCCUCAGUGCCUACUAUCUCAUCAACAAGAUGUUUAUACCUAUUGGACCCUCGAGUAUCCGGACUCGGAUGUAGAACGCCUCGUGUGUCUAUGCAUCAUGCUGUCAGGGUGCCUGGUGGUGACUGGCUCCGCGGUGGCAUCGUUGUCGCUGGUCGUGAGCCUCUACAUGCGCCCUGAGGAGACCUUCCUCUCAAGAUAUCGACUCAUCAUGAAGGAGAUGAAAGACACAGCUGUGCCCACUUCUCUUCGCGACAAGGUGGAGGCGUUCUACAAGAUGUACUGGCACAAGCAACGAGCUGUGUCGGAGACGCAACUGCAUCUUCCCUCCAACCUUGCCGGCUACCAUCAACACUGACAUAUACUUUGAGGCCACGCAAAAAGCUCGAAUCCUUCGUGAGCUAUCGUACCAGAUAUUGGAAGAGCUGGCUCGGAAGAUGGAGACAGUUCACUACAUUCCAGGAGAUGCCAUCAUCAAGCGAGGAUCUAAGAAGUGCCAAAUUAUUUACAUUACCUACGAGAUAUUGAAGUGAAUGCUGACAGCAGAGGACGAUAACACACCCAUCCUUCGAAUGACCCGAGGCACGGUGCUGACUCCAUAUGGUUGCGCGGUAGCCGCGGCGCUCAGCCGCUCGCACUUGGCCGUGCGGGCAGCUACCUUCUGCACGGCUCAUGUCCUGAAGGCCAGGGAACUGUGGCGGGUCGUCACUAAGCACUCGGCAUCGCAGGACCAUGCGGGACCCAUAUUAGCUUCCUUCACUGAUCACAUUGAAAAAGUCAAAAGGCACUAUCAAAUGAAAGUUCCAGAUGAUGCCAUUCACAAGAGCAGUAUCCUGAACUUCAAUCGCAACCUUAUCAUGCUAAAGGAAAUGAAUGAGGAAGGAGCCUCGGUGCUGUCCAGCUCCGACGUGUUCUUAGAGAUCGCUGGAUGCUAUAUCAUGAGGAAUCGUUCAGCCUCUGCUCUAACGGACCAGUCGGAUCAGAUAUGCCUCCGUCCGGUGUUCCCUUGCAUCCUGCAGCCGACAUCCUCGCUCCUGGUCGGGUGGCAUGCUUUCGUGGCUUUGCUCAUCUUGAUAGUUUGUAUUACGCAUCCCUACUUCCUAGUGUUCCACAGCCAGCUGCCCCAACUGUUCAGGUUCUUCGAUUAUUGUGUGACUUCUAUAUAUACUCUGGACCUCAUCGUACAUUUGUCCACGGGAGCUAACGUUGAGGAGGGUGUUCCGAUCACAUUCGCGCAGACGUCGUCCCAGCAGAUGCGCAGUCACUGGUUCGUGCUGGACGUGGUGGCCACGCUUCCAGUCUUCGAGUUCAUUGGCAACGGACAGUUCGCUGGCAUGAACAAGAUUCUCCGGCUGCCCAAGCUGUUUCGUGUGUUAAAGAGCCACGAAAGCUGUGGUUACCGUAGCCACGUGCUCCGGUUCCUGUCGUACACCCUGCUGCUGCUCAUCGCGUGCUACCUCAUCGCCACCAUGCAGCAAGCCUUCAUGUGCUUCCAGUCUGGUCACUGCUUGGUGACGAACUUCACGCACAGACCGCAUUGGGAGAACAAACCACUGGACGACGAGACGGUGCAUUCGAGGCUUAUCUUCGGCCUGUACUGGGCCAUUUCCAUGAUCAUCUUCUCAAUUCAUCGAGAAACUUGGGGUAAAGAAAACUGGAAGAACGUUCUUUACACGAUGGUCAUCCUGGACAUCUGCAUCGUACUGCGUAUCUUCAUGGAGGCGGUCUACUCUGCCACUAUCAUGGUCACUACUGAUUUAAGAGAGAAUUAUGGUUCCCGUAUCGCUAUGGUGAAGAGUUUUCUGAUUAGGAACGAGAUGGACCCUCUCUUGAGGAAGAGGUUCAUCACAUACCUUCAACUCUGCUGGCAUACAGAUCAGUUCUUGAACAAAGAAGACAUGAGAUUCGUAUCAUCCGUCGCUAAACUGUUCUACACGUCUCCUAAUGAAAUACUACUGAAUACAGGAGAGCUCACUAAUGAAAUAUAUAUCAUCAAAAAGGGCAUCUGUGAGAUUGUUGAUCCGGUCUCUAAGCAACGCAUUGGCACGUUGACUACAAAGAACCAUUUUGCUGCACUCAUCUGUCUCUUACGCAUACCGGCAUACUAUACAGUGCGUGCUAUCACCCACGUGCAGGUGUUUUCCUGCCCGCAAGUAUCUGGAUAAGGUAUUUGAGCACCCACAAAUAAAGGAGGCCAUUGACUUCGUGAAGAAACGCCCGGAGUAUCAGCGCGUGCAGAAGAAGUUGCCUGCCUUCAUGAAGUACGUGCCACCCCCGAUCCAAGAAUGUGAUGCAUUUCAAGCUGCCGAGGAAACACAGGCCCGACUACGAAUUCCUCCACCCUUUCGAUAGGCUUGGAUUCUUAUCGAUUUUGCGUUACGUAUUUCCGCGGUACACGAUCCGGCCUGAUGGCAAAUACCUGCUCCGGUACGAGUGGUUCCGCAUGAUAUGCGCACUGCUGUCUGCUCAGCUGUUCCCUCACUACACGUACCUGGUGCUGCAGUGGCCGUUCCUCUAUCACGUCUCCUGGUUCCUCGACCUGUCGGCUUAUUACGAUAUUUGCCAAAGGAUGAUGAUUGGCUACUUCAACACCGAUGGGAUCCUGGUGUACCAUCCAGCCAGCACCGCCGCCUAUUAUUUAAAGGGUGCCUUCUUAGCUGAUUUAUUGGCGUGCUUACCUCUUGAAAAUCUGGAGUCAACACGGAAGACAGUUCUGCACCUGUUCCGCCUGACUCCAACGAAGCAGUUUCUGAUGCUGAACCGUCUCAUCCAGUUGUAUCGGAUGCCGAGCGCCAUGAUGGUGCUCAAGGGUACAUUGAGAGACGGAUAUACUCAUGCAUUCAAGCGAUCCCCUUAUUUAUGGCGAUGCUUAAUACGUUGACCUGCCUCAUGGUAUUCUACUCCGUGAAGAUAUCCUACUCCAGGGAUUUCAGCGGCUACGAAUGGAUUAUAGAACCCUUCGACGAUAAAGGAGGAUCAUGGGUGUACUUGUUCAAGGAUAAAUUUCGGUUCAACUUUACGGAAACACCAUGGAACCUACACCUCGCCACUUAUUUCUGGGUUGUCUACGAGUGCAGCACCACCGGCUAUGGGAUAUUCAAUCCCACCAACCAUGAAAUUAUGAAACUUCUUUUCGUUGGCAUCGCUUGCAGUGCAAUGAUAGUCACAUACUACUCGGUCCGUAUCAUCAGUAUUCGGGCGAAUGUCAACAAAUCUCUGGCUGGUUUCCAACAACACAUGAAGGAUAUCAACGUCUACAUGGCUAGAGAGUUGGAUUCGGAACUGCAAAGUAUGAUAACCUUACAUAUGUCCAUUGCUAGCGAACGCCGAUGUCUCCCUACUGCGCAUCAUUGGUCGCGUGCAGCGAUGUACUUCCUACGUGACAUGAAGAUCCUGGAAGUAGACGAUAUGGCUACUGACAUGUACUUCGUGGACUAUGGAGGUGAAGUCAGGGUCAACGUUGGAGAUAACUACCAUGUUAUUAGACUGCCGAGGGGCAGUGUAUUUGGCAACUUAGAAGGCACCAAGGCACAAAGAAGUCCUUACAACGUGAUAGCCACUGGUCGGCUGCAUCUGCUGAUGAUCAAGUCAGACAUAUUCUCCAGCAUCACGAAGGACUUCCCAGCUAUUAGACAGCUCAUGGAGAGCUCAAAUAUGUAUAUCUUGGGAGGCGAGGCCAAAGUGAGGGUUCGUCACACGUUACCUUCCACCAUGCCUCAUCGGAGCCAGACCAGCGUCCUGAAAUAUAUCUACUUCCAGGAAGGUUAUGUGCAGAUCUAUCUCAUAGCCAUCUGCAUGGGCUGCAUAUAUCUGGACAUGUAUAACGCGGGAUAUCAGGACAAUAGCAGGUGGAUGCUCACUACACUGUAUUCCUUGGACUUCGCCUUCUUUCUGAAGAUAUUUACCCAGCACUCCUGCCAUUCCUAGUGCCAAACAGAAAUAUUAAGAAAAUGAUGUUGCCUAUUAGAAAGAUGUAUUUUAAGGGCGAGUUCAGAUACGACUUUAUAUCCAUAAUUCCUUUCGAGCUGCUCAGCUUUGCCUUCGUCCAGCAUCGGUGGUUCCUGUUCCCAUGGCUGCGUCUCAAUCGGACCUUCAGAAUCGCGACGGUACACAAGUGUCUGCGCAAGCGGAACGAGAGCAUCACCGUCAACCUGACGUUCACCACCAUCAUGGCUGUUCUGAUCUGGUUCACUCUGUUCGUGCACGCUGUCUCCUGUGUCUGGUACUUCAUUGGCUCCGUAGAGGACUCUAUCAAACCCUUUUCUUCGUGGAGAUACUUGGAUGAUGGUUCAAGCCAAUGCGACAACAGUUACAUCUGCUCGGUGUACUUCGUGAUCACGACGUUCACUCAAAAUGGCGUCGGAGACAUCAUGCCGAAGAAACAGUCCGAGGUGCUGUUCGUGGCGAUCCUCCAGAUAAUAUCGACAAUGGUGUUCAUGGUGUACGUGGGGGAGUUCUCCAACAUCAUCCAGUAUACCUCCUACCGCUCCUUCAGCUUCUACAGCAAGUACCUCGAGUUGCAGGAGUUCAUGAAGAACAACCGAGUGUCCCAGCACCUAGUGAAUAUCGUCAACAAGUAUACGUUACAUUUGUGGAGGGAGAACCGUGGAUUCCAAGAGCCUCACUUCUUGGUGCAUGCGCCACUGUCUCUGAGACUGCGGGUCAUGUCUGCAGCUUACUAUCAUCAUAUCACCAGGCACCAUAUAUUUGAAGAAUGCGACGCUGGUUUCCUGAGGCAACUGGUCGGAUGUUUAAGGAUAUAUACUUAUAACGAAGGCAUGUACGUGGUGAAAGAGAGCGAUAUCACGGAUGCCAUGUACGUGAUCCACACGGGCAAGGUGAAGGAGACCUGCGAGGAGAUGGACAUCAGCGCUAGGGUCCCCUGCCGGCUCCUACUUCGGAAUUAUCCAGGGCUUAUUACGCAAUACUCCAUACACUCAUUCGUACCAGACUGUCAUCAAGUCGUGUGUGCUCACGCUGCAGCUGGACGACUGGGAGUACUUGCUGAAGCACUUCCCAGAUAGCAGAGACGCCAUACACAAACACAUGAGACAGUUAGGAGAUGAUGACACUGACAAGAGUAAUUGGCCUGGCGGCGCUCCAGUUGAAUGGACGGCCCCAGAAUAUGUGCCCCUAGCGGACAUUCCCGAAGAAGCUCCCCUUGCACCGGGAAUGUUUCCUGGAAUUAAGCGACAUUUCGGAAGAGACUCAGAUACACCUGAAGAACAGCCCCCUAUCAGGCCCUCUUUGACAGGUAGAAAAUCAUCUUUGCAUUUCCCUUGGCAUAUACGACACGGGGAACACGCAGACAGCAAACGAGAAGAAGAAUCUCUGGAAGUAGAAGAACAUCGUAAAUUAGGAUUCUUCGAAAAAAUUAUUGGAACCGCAAAAAAAUUAAUGGGUAGAGUUUCUGAUUCUGACUUGCUUGCAAUGACUGGGGAAGGCAGAGAUGAACUUCAAUUGGAAGAAGACGAGGAGGCGACUGAAGCACUACUUGCGCAGUUUGAAGCAGCUAAAAAACUGACUGAAAAAGAUAAGAAAAAAAUAAUAACUCGUAGGAAGAGUAUGUUUUACGGGGACGAUCAAACCAUGGAAAAACAACUAGUGACACUAGAUAUCGCACCAUCGAUGACGGACGAACUUAGCAAGGAAGAGUCUCAAGCGUUUACCAUGCGACCGCUGAGAAUCCGAGAUUCAGACACCGAAUUACCUACCCCCUCUAAAUCCCAGUCAGUUGCGGCACCGGAAGUUAUUCUUAAUCUGGGAAGGUCAAAAUCAAAUAUUACCAGAAGCGCCAGUGCGCAAAUUGAAAGAAGAUACAGAACCUGAAGAGCCCUCCAAAAAAGGAUCUGAAUUAUAUCAACUAAAACUUAGUGAUUCUACAACUGCUGAAGCAACUGCAAAUCAAUUACAAAGGCCUGAAGACAUUCAGGGGUCUUCAAAAAUUCCAGCUGCGGUCGAUAUGUCAAAGGCUAGCCUUGCUAGUACGGCUACUGCAAAGAACAUGUUUUAAAAUAACUUCCUUAGAACCUCAAGAUUCUAAACCUUCGACGAUCCCAGAAUCCUCCGAAAUUCAAAUUGCGAAUAUAAACAUUAUGAAGACGCCAUCCGGCGACACGGCAGCAACGAAUGAAGAGACACUAGAAGGCCAAACUACUUUAGGAGAUCUGGAUUCCAAACCUCUUGAAGACAAAGAAACAAAACCUGGCGAUGAAAAUGCGAUCUCACAAGAGUUAAGUCUCUUGUAUCCCGAACUAUUACCUACUAAGCCUGCUGAAACUGAAGAACUUCCAGAUACUACUGGAGAUAUCCCAAGCACUUCUGCACCAGAACAUCACCCGUCGAUGACGCGUCUUAGCACACGCCACCACACUAUGCCUGAUAUUUUUGGUUCAAAGCCUUUUGAACUUCCAGAAACAACAUGGGUCUGGUGAGGAAGACUUAGCUGUCAAUUAUAUUCUGCCUCCUGAAGAAACUACAAGUGUCCAAGCUAUACACGACGAUAAGCAGACUGCUCAAGGAACUUCAGGUGCUCCAACUGUAACUUCAGGUGCUCCAACUGUAACUUCAGGUGCUCCAACUGUAACUUCAGGUGCUCCUACUGUAACUUCAGGUGCUCCAACUGUAACUUCAGGUGCUCAACUGUAACUUCAGGUGCUCCAACUGUAACUUCAGGUGCUCCAACUGUAACUUUACUCCAACUGUAAAGGAAACUCUUCCUGCCUCGGAAUCAAUGGGAGUCCAAGUCAAAGAAAAAGAACCUGUUCACGAAACUAAGAGUACUCAAGCAGCCAUGAAAAUUAAAGAAGGUCCUGAUCCGGAAAAGUAACUACACAAGCUGGCCCAAGUACUAAAGCAUUAUAUACAAAGAAACACAAGCUUCAUCUUCGAAGCCACCUCCUCCGUCAGCGUCAUCAGAAAAGAUUAUUUCAUAUUUAUCUAAUGAAAGUGUUUCCACUAUAGAUCUAGAUGUCGAACCGUCGCAAUAUAUCGCAGCGCGUCCCGAUGAUGAAAAGUCGCGUGCAUUCGCUGAAGAAGCAGCCCGAAAGCGGUCGUUCAGUAGAAAGCCCAUAGUCUUUGACCCGAACCGUAAGUCGGACUCGGAGAACGAAAAUGAUAAAAACGAAACAAAAGAAGAAACAACGUUACAUACGCUCAAACAGCCUCCCUCAUCGGUGUCCGAUGUAAAGUUGAUGCAAUUUAUGUCUGAGACCGAGGAUCCUGUAAUAACCAGUAGAGAAACUGUGGUGAUGAAACCCAAGACUCCCUCAUCACAUGAUAUCAAACAGGAAGAAACGCCCACGUCGACGACAAAGUUGAACCGACGCUUCGUCCACGUGCGAUAUGAUGAGAAGAAGGAUAAGAAUAAACCCGUCGCAGAAGAAGAUUAUUUAGUUGAACAGGAUGCUGAAGAAGAAGGUGUGAAUAUUGUCACGUUGGAUAGUGACGAGCCGCAGGCCCAGGAAGUCGUGGAAGAGGAGGAGCCAGAGGCAGAGAGAGGCCUCCGAGACCUCUCGAAAUUUAAAUAACCCUUACUAUAGAAGACGAUCUGACUAGUAUAAUUUAGCUGAAGUUACUUCAAAUCGCUUUGCUAUUCGAUUUGUUCAAACCCAGCAGAUGUUAACUUGUCAAAACAGUUAUUGGUUUUCUAAUUGAUUUAAUUUUAAUAUUGUUACUGACUGGACCUGUUUAUUUAUAGAAACUUAUUUUUAGUAGUAUAGAUGUUUUGAAAGAUAGUUUUGUCGUAAUUAUAUUAAAUGGAGUUGUGGUAUUCACAAAAACUAAAGCAAUUAUUAUUUUACUUACUCUUCUUUAAAGACACCACGACUUAUUGUUAGUUUAUUUUAAUUAAAAUGUAUUUCGUACCUGUUUGAAUAAUAAAUGCUCUAAAAAUA